UACGGAGGGUGCAAACGUUGCUCGGAAUCAUUGGGCGUAAAGCGCACGUAGGCGGACCGCUAAGUCGGAUGUGAAAUCCCUCGGCUUAACCGAGGAAGUGCACUCGAAACUGACGGUCUUGAGUAUGGAAGAGGGUCGCGGAAUUCCCGGUGUAGAGGUGAAAUUCGUAGAUAUCGGGAGGAACACCAGCGGCGAAGGCGGCCAUCUGGACAGAUAUUGACGCUGAGGUGCGAAAGCGUGGGGAGCAAACAGG
rnacentral:rRNA from 1 species